rnacentral:lncRNA from 1 species
CGAUCGUUCGUCGUUUGAGUUUAGUUAUAAGUCCUCGACGUUGACGGUUCCAAAUCGACCCUAGCGUAAUUUUCAAGCGUUCGGUGGGCCAAACUUUACUUUAGUAAAUUACAAGGUGAGUUGGAGUCAUUGUCUCGGUCGUGUUGGUUUAAAUCGCAACACGGUCGACUCCCGUGAAUACGUGUCUGGUCAGAACGUGGGAUGCGAGUACCGAUACG